AGACUCAGAAUAGUAGAUUAGGUCGAAGAUAAGAUGCGGAUUAUCCGUAGCCAGAGAGCCGCCUUCUCCCCCCAAUUCUGUGUCUCUGGGUCUUCCCCCCAAACAAAAAAAACAGGAGCUGGGCGGACAGACCGAACCCCACUACACGCCAUGAAGCCCCCCGCAGGAUCCCAGAAAUACUCCUCGAGGCCAGGCCACGCGACAUCGCCACCUACCAUCUUUCCGGGCUCCACAGAGAAAAGAAAGGACCUUCCCUCUCGCGAGACUUCACGCAGUAUGAAGGACAAAACUGCUUCUCUCGCGCUAUCUCAAUUAUAAAGGCUGGAGGAGCAAAGAGACUCCUGGAAAGCGAGUCUCGCAGUCUUGACGUCCGGUUCCGAUUAGCAUCCAUUUGCGGGAGCCAAAGGUGGUCUAACAGAGUUUCCAGCAGCCUCCCUUCCAGAUACUUUCCAGACCUGGACAUGAUCAGCAGAAGCAACAUCACUGCAUCAUCGUGCUUUCAGAUAUCAGCAGAACAUUCUCAGUUAACUUUCUAUUAACAUUUUUAGCAUUCAAUGAGUUGAGGAUUCCCACUCAUAUACUCUACAAAUCAUGGAUUGUAUCUUGAUAACAUGACUUGAAAACAUCUAAUGCACUUGAAUCUCUAAAGGCAGCCUGUCUAAUUUGUAUGUGGAAAAACUACAGUACAUUUAACAUCUAAUUCAGAUCUCAUGUAGACCUUUCCUCUAGUACAAGGUAUGUUUGAGCUCACUGAAAGAUAUAACAGUGCACAUUAAGAGAUGUUUCUCACACUGGAAAAAUGACCUCUCCAGCAGAAGACCAUCCCAGCAAUGCACUGCAGGGAAAAGCAAGGCCUAGGAUGCGAGCCACAGAUUGAGAGAACAGGAUUCAAGUAGGAGAAACUAUGUCAAGCACACUUUGAUUUUUUUCCUUGAAAAUAUCAAAAUGAGUCAUCAUUGCCACACAUUAGAAAAAUGCCAAUUGAAAAAUGCUGACUGAACAGAUUUGUCCAUGGGAAAAAAUCCCCAAGUUGCAAAAUAUGCUAACUCAUGCAUUCAGGGACAAUGGCUAUAUUCAAAGGCAAAAAACUGUAUGCACAGAUUAGUAGUAAACCACAGAAGAAGAUGACUGGGCAACAUUUACGGAAACCCAGUUGCUGAAGAACAUUUGAAGGAUAAUUUUUCAGACACAGGAAAUGAACAGCCUAGGAAGAUGAUUUAAUGCCAAACAAAAGCUAUUUCACAACAUAGAUUUUUAAGCAAUUAUUUUUCUUGAGCAACUGUUUUUCAUGUAAUAUAUCCCAGGGCAUAGCAUAAGCACCUGGUGACAUCCAUACUGCAUCUCACUUGGUAUUGCUGCUUAAUGUUCUAAAUUCUGUUGCAUUAAAACUUGGUAUUUUGUUGAAGAUGCUGUUACACAAUAACUAGACAGACAAUGAGCUUGCAUUCUUCUUGGUGCAUCACAAGUUGUACUGGCUUCAUCUAAAUACACUCACACUUUUUUUCCCCUCACCCAUGUAUAUUUCUAAAGAAGUUAACAUUUUAGAAAGGGAAUGAACAUGGAAGAGGCAGCACUCCAUUCAGAAAACACUGAGUCCCAUCUGUCUGGAGAAUUAUGAUGAUAAAGUAUUAACAAUGUUAAAUCAAUACAACAUUCCUUGGAGAUAUUUGCUAAUGUGUAAGCAGUUCUUUCAAACAAUCUCUUUUAUUUUCCUGUGAGAAAUUUAUCUUCCUUAUAAUUUCCAAUAAAGAAGAAGAGUUGGAUUUA